rnacentral:rRNA from 1 species
GACGAACGCUGGCGGCGUGCUUAACACAUGCAAGUCGAACGGAAAGGCCUGCUUUCCCUUGUGGAUUGCGGGUACUCGAGUGGCGAACGGGUGAGUAACACGUGAGUGAUCUGCCCCCAACUUGGGUAUAAGCCUGGGAAACUGGGUCUAAUUCCCGAUAGGACUGCAGGGUGGUGCCUGUGGUGGAAAACGAUUUUCUAGUGGUUGGGGAUGAGCUCGCGGCCUAUCAGCUUGUUGGUGGGGUAAUGGCCUACCAAGGCGGCGACGGGUAGCCGGCCUGAGAGGGUGGACGGCCACAUAGGGACUGAGAUACGGCCCAGACUCCUACGGGAGGCAGCAGUGGGGAAUAUUGCACAAUGGGCGGAAGCCUGAUGCAGCGACGCCGCGUGGGGGAUGACGGCCUUCGGGUUGUAAACUCCUUUCGACCGCGAGGAAGCCACCUGGUUGGAAGGGUGGUGACGGUAGUGGUAGAAGAAGCACCGGCUAACUACGUG